rnacentral:misc_RNA from 1 species
UGAAUUGCGUUAAGAAUCAGGAAUUACAGAUAUUAUGAGUGAUAUGUUUUCGAUUGCAUAUUGCACCGUUGGGCUCUUGUCCAUCGGCGUACCCGACUCAGGGUGUGCUCUCCCGAGCAGUUCGACACAAUGCCCCACCUGGAGGUUGUGUCGAUUCGGAGACUGUCUUCGGGCAGUCGAUUCGGGCAUGUUGGGAUGUGGUCUGGUGGUGUUGGUUGGGCGAGUGUUUGUUAAUGAUUGCAUCCAAGCAUUCGACUCUUCUCACCCCGUCCCAACAAUCGAAUGUCCCCAAUGGAAUCCACCUGAGUCGGAGUAUGACUACCCGCCGAACUUAAGC